AUUGAACGCUGGCGGCAUGCCUUACACAUGCAAGUCGAACGGCAGCACGGGCUUCGGUCUGGUGGCGAGUGGCGAACGGGUGAGUAAUGUAUCGGAACGUACCCUUCAGUGGGGGAUAACUAUCCGAAAGGAUAGCUAAUACCGCAUAUUCUCUGAGGAGGAAAGCGGGGGAUCGCAAGACCUCGCGCUGAUGGAGCGGCCGAUAUCAGAUUAGCUAGUUGGUGGGGUAAAGGCCUACCAAGGCAACGAUCUGUAGCGGGUCUGAGAGGAUGAUCCGCCACACUGGGACUGAGACACGGCCCAGACUCCUACGGGAGGCAGCAGUGGGGAAUUUUGGACAAUGGGGGCAACCCUGAUCCAGCCAUGCCGCGUGAGUGAAGAAGGCCUUCGGGUUGUAAAGCUCUUUCGGCCGGGAAGAAAUCGCGUGAGUUAAUACCUUGCGUGGAUGACGGUACCGGAAUAAGAAGCACCGGCUAACUACGUGCCAGCAGCCGCCGUAACAC
rnacentral:rRNA from 1 species